rnacentral:lncRNA from 12 species
UAGCCCAGACCUGAGACAAGAAAGAAACCAGGCAUUAAGCAGCAGUGUUCCGAGUCCCAAAAGAGAACGAGCUUGGCGGGCAAAGGAGGCCAGGAUGGUGGAGAGCAGAGAGGGAAAGACAGAUCCUAGGAGGAGAAAGGUGCCAGGGCGGGCCCUGAGCAUUCAGGGCCUCGAAAGAAUAGGGAGGAAUUUGAUUUUGAUCUACAAAUGUCAAGAAAAGCCACUUGAGGAUCUUAAAAGAGGUUGGAAUCAUAUCUCAUAUUUAUUCUUAUAUAUAUAUAUUUUUUAUUCUUAUAUUUUUAUUCACAUCUGAAAAGGCAACUCCGGCUCUUGGGACCUUCAGUGGAGAGUGGGUUGCCCUGGGGGCAAAGCGCCUAACUUCCCAUCCGCCCCUUCCCCCUCCUGGGCCUUCAGGCGCCGUCUGCAGAGCGGAGGCGGGAGGGAAGGGGGUCCCAAGGAGUCGGGGACCAGGACCUCGCCCCGCGCAACGCACACCACUUAACAGCUCCAGACAGAGAGCUUCCGGGUCUCCGCCGACGGGUCUCUUUUCCUCCCCACGCGCCCAGAGUUAAGGUGCAGAGCGGGUGACACGUCCCCGCGAGCGCGAGCGCGAGCGCGGAGGAGGAAUCUGCCUAAGAUUCGGGGACUCGUGGCUCCGCGGCUCACGACAGCCAAUGGGGAGGAGGAGAGCAGCCAGGGGGCGGUACCCCCGCGGGCCGGGCCGCGCCAUUGGCUGGCGGCCGCGUCGCUCGCCCGCGGGGCCACGUGACCGCCACCUCCCGAGCGGUCGUCCGGGCUGGGUGUUCCGCGCCUCUCGGCGGGUGCGCCGGGCGCUCCCCGCGGUGCCGCCCGGCCGGGCCCCGCCUUCCUCGGGGCCGGGCGAUGGGCGGGGAAGGGGACGGGCAGGUAAAGCGAGGCCGGCCCGGCACCGGGCUACCGCUGCCCGCGCCGUCGUGUCCCCUCGCUCCCGCCACGGCGGAGGACGCGCCGCGGGGCCUCGUCGCGCCGGGAGGCCCAGGACCGACAGUCUCGUGCAGGCCAAAUUGGAAUUCUUUCGCUGGGUAAGAUGGAGAGACGCUGAAAGGACCCAGAGAAGGCCAGAUCCUUGCCUGAUGUUACACAGCAAGUCAUUUGCCGAGAUGGAACUUGCUCCCAGCUCCCCCAAACUCAGACUAUCAGCUGGGCCCCUUCCUUUGCACAGAUUGGGGGACCACGUGAGUUAG